rnacentral:rRNA from 1 species
GACGAACCGUGCGAACGUUGUUCGGAAUCACUGGGCUUAAAGGGUGCGUAGGCGGGCUCGUUAGUCGGGGGUGAAAUCCCACGGCCCAACCGUGGAAGUGCCUCCGAUACUGCGAGUCUAGAGGGGAACAGGGGCAUGCGGAACUUCCGGUGGAGCGGUGAAAUGCGUAGAUAUCGGAAGGAACACCGGUGGCGAAAGCGGCGUGCUGGAUUCCUACUGACGCUGAGACACGAAAGCCAGGGGAGCGAACGGG